rnacentral:rRNA from 1 species
UACGAAGGGUGCAAACGUUAUUCGGAAUUACUGGGCGUAAAGGGUGCGUAGACGGCAUGUUAAGUUCGUUGUUAAAGGCUCCGGCCUAACCGGAGUACCGCGAUGAAAACUGGCGUACUAGAGGGUGAGAGAGAGAAGUGGAAUUCCUGGAGUAGCGGUAAAAUGCGUGGAUCUCAGGAGGAACACCAAUGGCGAAGGCAGCUUCUUGGCUCAUUCCUGACGUUGAGGCGCGAAAGCGUGGGGAGCAAACAGG